UGAGGAAUAUUGGUCAAUGGGCGGAAGCCUGAACCAGCCAUGCCGCGUGCAGGAAGGAGGCCCUACGGGUUGUAAACUGCUUUUACCCGGGAAGAAACCGCCCCCUGUGGGGGGCGUUGCCGGUACCGGGGGAAAAAGGAUCGGCUAACUCCGUGCCAGCAGCCGCGGUAAUACGGAGGAUCCGGGCGUUAUCCGGAAUUACUGGGUUUAAAGGGUGCGUAGGCGGGGCUUUAAGCCGGCGGUGAAAUGCAGCGGCUCAACCGCUGGAAUGCCGUUGGGACUGGGGCUCUUGGAUACGGUCGGGGCGGGUGGAACUCGUGGUGUAGCGGUGAAAUGCAUAGAUAUCACGAGGAACGCCGGUAGCGAAGGCAGCUCGCCGGGCCGGUAUUGACGCUGAGGCACGAAAGCGUGGGGAUCGAACAG
rnacentral:rRNA from 1 species